GAUUAGCGGCGGACGGGUGAGUAACACGUGGGCAACCUGCCUGUAAGACUGGGAUAACUUCGGGAAACCGGAGCUAAUACCGGAUAAUCCUUUUCUACUCAUGUAGAAAAGCUGAAAGAUGGCUUCGGCUAUCACUUACAGAUGGGCCCGCGGCGCAUUAGCUAGUUGGUGAGGUAACGGCUCACCAAGGCGACGAUGCGUAGCCGACCUGAGAGGGUGAUCGGCCACACUGGGACUGAGACACGGCCCAGACUCCUACGGGAGGCAGCAGUAGGGAAUCUUCCGCAAUGGACGAAAGUCUGACGGAGCAACGCCGCGUGAGUGAUGAAGGUUUUCGGAUCGUAAAACUCUGUUGUUAGGGAAGAACAAGUACCGUUCGAAUAGGGCGGUACCUUGACGGUACCUAACCAGAAAGCCACGGCUAACUACGUGCCAGCAGCCGCGGUAAUACGUAGGUGGCAAGCGUUGUCCGGAAUUAUUGGGCGUAAAGCGCGCGCAGGUGGUUUCUUAAGUCUGAUGUGAAAGCCCCCGGCUCAACCGGGGAGGGUCAUUGGAAACUGGGAGACUUGAGUGCAGAAGAGGAAAGUGGAAUUCCAAGUGUAGCGGUGAAAUGCGUAGAG
rnacentral:rRNA from 1 species